GAAGAAGGCCUUCGGGUUGUAAAGCACUUUCAGUCGUGAGGAAGGUAGUGUAGUUAAUAGCUGCAUUAUUUGACGUUAGCGACAGAAGAAGCACCGGCUAACUCCGUGCCAGCAGCCGCGGUAAUACGGAGGGUGCGAGCGUUAAUCGGAAUUACUGGGCGUAAAGCGCAUGCAGGUGGUUUGUUAAGUCAGAUGUGAAAGCCCGGGGCUCAACCUCGGAAUUGCAUUUGAAACUGGCAGACUAGAGUACUGUAGAGGGGGGUAGAAUUUCAGGUGUAGCGGUGAAAUGCGUAGAGAUCUGAAGGAAUACCGGUGGCGAAGGCGGCCCCCUGGACAGAUACUGACACUCAGAUGCGAAAGCGUGGGGAGCAAACAGGAUUAGAUACCCUGGUAGUCCACGCCGUAAACGAUGUCUACUUGGAGGUUGUGGCCUUGAGCCGUGGCUUUCGGAGCUAACGCGUUAAGUAGACCGCCUGGGGAGUACGGUCGCAAGAUUAAAACUCAAAUGAAUUGACGGGGGCCCGCACAAGCGGUGGAGCAUGUGGUUUAAUUCGAUGCAACGCGAAGAACCUUACCUACUCUUGACAUCCAGAGAACUUUCCAGAGAUGGAUUGGUGCCUUCGGGAACUCUGAGACAGGUGCUGCAUGGCUGUCGUCAGCUCGUGUUGUGAAAUGUUGGGUUAAGUCCCGCAACGAGCGCAACCCUUAUCCUUGUUUGCCAGCGAGUAAUGUCGGGAACUCCAGGGAGACUGCCGGUGAUAAACCGGAGGAAGGUGGGGACGACGUCAAGUCAUCAUGGCCCUUACGAGUAGGGCUACACACGUGCUACAAUGGCGCAUACAGAGGGCGGCCAACUUGCGAAAGUGAGCGAAUCCCAAAAAGUGCGUCGUAGUCCGGAUUGGAGUCUGCAACUCGACUCCAUGAAGUCGGAAUCGCUAGUAAUCGUGGAUCAGAAUGCCACGGUGAAUACGUUCCCGGGCCUUGUACACACCGCCCGUCACACCAUGGGAGUGGGCUGCAAAAGAAGUAGGUAGUUUAACCUUCGGGGGGACGCUUACCACUUUGUGGUUCAUGACUGGGGUGAAGUCGUAACAAGGUAGCGCUAGGG
rnacentral:rRNA from 1 species